rnacentral:rRNA from 1 species
GACGAGCAUCACAAACGUUAUUCGGAAUUACUGGGCGUAAAGGGCUCGUAGGCGGCCAACUAAGUCAGACGUGAAAUCCCUCAGCUUAACUGGGGAACUGCGUCUGAUACUGGAUGGCUUGAGUCCGGGAGAGGGAUGCGGAAUUCCAGGUGUAGCGGUGAAAUGCGUAGAGAUCGGGGAGGAACAUCAGUUGCGGAAGGCGGCUCUCUGGACCAGCACUGACACUGAGGCACGAAAGCGUGGGGAGCAAACAGG